AUGCUUGCUUUGGCAGCAUAUAUACUAAAAUUGGAACACUGCAGAGAAGAUUAGCAUGGCCCCUGUGCAAGGAUGACAAGCAAAUUUGUGAAGUGUUCCAUAUUUUA
rnacentral:snRNA from 1 species